GCACACACGCAAAAAGGCACGCAUUCAAGUCAUGUUGAUGUGUUCAGUCAGCGAAGUGCCUCGUUUAAUGCUGUCUCAGUGACAAGGCAACAGAUGGGACUCAAAGAAUAGCAG